rnacentral:misc_RNA from 1 species
UCUCUCUUCCACUCACUCACACCCACUCUGACA